rnacentral:rRNA from 1 species
AUUGAACGCUGGCGGCAGGCCUAACACAUGCAAGUCGAGCGGAUGAAGGGAGCUUGCUCCUGGAUUCAGCGGCGGACGGGUGAGUAAUGCCUAGGAAUCUGCCUGGUAGUGGGGGAUAACGUCCGGAAACGGGCGCUAAUACCGCAUACGUCCUGAGGGAGAAAGUGGGGGAUCUUCGGACCUCACGCUAUCAGAUGAGCCUAGGUCGGAUUAGCUAGUUGGUGGGUUAAAGGCCUACCAAGGCGACGAUCCGUAACUGGUCUGAGAGGAUGAUCAGUCACACUGGAACUGAGACACGGUCCAGACUCCUAAGGGAGGCAGAAGUGGGGAAUAUUGGACAAUGGGCGAAAGCCUGAUCCAGCCAUGCCGCGUGUGUGAAGAAGGUCUUCCGAUUGUAAAGCACUUUAAGUUGGGAGGAAGGGCAGUAAGUUAAUACCUUGCUGUUUUGACGUUACCAACAGAAUAAGCACCGGCUAACUUAGUG